UUGAUAGGUUAAGAGCUGAUUAACUGGACGUUACCCACAGAAGAAGCACCGGCUAACUCCGUGCCAGCAGCCGCGGUAAUACGGAGGGUGCGAGCGUUAAUCGGAAUUACUGGGCGUAAAGGGUGCGUAGGUGGUUGAUUAAGUUAUCUGUGAAAUUCCUGGGCUUAACCUGGGACGGUCAGAUAAUACUGGUUGACUCGAGUAUGGGAGAGGGUAGUGGAAUUUCCGGUGUAGCGGUGAAAUGCGUAGAGAUCGGAAGGAACACCAGUGGCGAAGGCGGCUACCUGGCCUAAUACUGACACUGAGGCACGAAAGCGUGGGGAGCAAACAGGAUAGAUACCCUGGUAGUCCACGCUGUAAACGAUGUCAACUAG
rnacentral:rRNA from 1 species